rnacentral:lncRNA from 1 species
AUAAGAGACUUAGACACUAGUAAUAAUAACUGGGCUUAAGCAUUUUGGGCUGGUGGUUUGGGCCCAACGAGUUAUUGUUGCUAGUGGGCUGGGUCGUUACAUUUGGUAUCAGAGCCAAUUACCAGCCGGAAGUGUGAGAUGAGUCUCGGCUGAGCCAGGGUCUGGAUGACGAGCUAGCGAGAUGAGUCUCACAUCGCCUGGUACUUGUGAGUCUGAGCCUGACGAGGACGUCAGGGCUUAAAGGAGGGGAUAUUGUGAGACCCCAGAUAGUCCUAU